AGAGAGAGAGACUGAAAGAGAGAGAGAGAGACUGAAAGAGAGAGAGAGAGGGACUGAAACAGAGAUACUAAAAGAGAGAGAGAGACUAAAAGAGAGAGAGAGACUGAAAGAGAGAGAGCGAGAGACUGAAAGAGAGAGAGAGAGACUGAAACAGAGAUACUAAAAGAGAGAGAGUGUAUGAGGUCCAGGUGUCUGUGAGAGUGUAUCAGGUCCAGGUGUCUAUAAGAGUGUAUCAGGUCCAGGUGUCUGUAAGAGUGGAUCAGGUCCAGGUGACUGUAAGAGUGGAUCAGGUCCAGGUGACUGUAAGAGUGGAUCAGGUCCAGGUGACUGUAAGAGUGGAUCAGGUCCAGGUGUCUAUAAGAGUGGAUCAGGUCCAGGUGUCUAUAAGAGUGGAUCAGGUCCAGGCCCGUCCUGCUGGUAAAUGUGACAGCACUGGUUCAGAUAGAGAGGACAGGGGACAGUACCUAGAGAUCCGUCUCCCAUUAAUUAUGCUGCAGUGCUGAAGAAGGGAUGUCAGGUGGGAGGAAAGGAGGUAUGGGAUCCUUUCAAGCGUUGCCCAGAUAGUCUGGCAGAGACGCCAGGGAACAGUGACUCAGGGUGGAGUGGAGCCACAGUGUUUUAGAUAAGUAGAUGAAACCGAGGAGCCACAGUGUUUUAGAUAAGUAGACGAAACCGAGGAGCCACAGUGUUCUAGAUAAGUAGAUGAAACCGAGGAGCCACAGUGUUCUAGAUAAGUAGAUGAAACCGAGGAGCCACAGUGUUCUAGAUAAGUAGAUGAAACCGAGGAGCCACAGUGUUUUAGAUAAGAAGAUGAAACCGAGGAGCCACAGUGUUUUAGAUAAGUAGAUGAAACCGAGGAGCCACAGUGUUUUAGAUAAGUAGAUGAAACUGAGGAGCCACAGUAGUGGCAUCACACCGCUGUUACAGCUGGCCUGGUUGGACCUUUCAGCGAACAGACAAACACACACAAGAGGAGGGAGGGAUACGGACAGGUCACGGGUCACUCUGCGCCUGAGAAAUGUAAUGACUAACUAAUUACAAAUACAUUGUCCCCCAGGAGCCGUUUGUCUAACAUGGAGGGGGG
ensembl:lncRNA